CAUAUUCCCAUUGCAUUCCUUGGAUAUCUCCCAGCCACUGGCCUGAGAAAGUCACUAACCUUCGUAUGCUUCAUUGUUCUGGCGGGAUAUCUCCAUCCAGACGGUGUCGCGUGACUUCUGCUGACCACUGAGCGUGCACUUGCACAGCUCAUCCCAGAAACAUCUGAUCUCACAGACACGUCCUGGCAAUAUCACACACCCUGCUCCUCAACACCCCACCAGCAGGAUGCACAUCUCUUCCAGCUGUGGAAGCAACUGGAAAGAAAUGGAAGGAAUGAUAACCUCCAGGACAGUCCUGAGUCAUAAAAUAUUGAUAAUAAUUGACUCAAAGAAAGAAGAGUUUUCUAGGAAAUCAAGCUAAAUAAAACAGGAGGGAAGGAUGACUUAAUGGCUUCAAGACAACUGAGGAGUCAAGUCUAGGAGAGUGGAACCUCAGUCACGGCAAAGCACUUCUGGAAUCCAAAUGAAGAUGGAGAUGUCAUGGAAACUUGGAGCUGGGUGAUCCAAAACAUUCCUCCAGCCUUGCAGUGGAAGGCCAUGGAGAUACUGCAUGACAUGGUGCGGCUGCUUCUGGCAACAGGAAGAAGAAUGCAUUGUUUCCCUCAUUGUGAAGCCUUCUUACUGAUGUGUGACUCUCAUGCUUCAGAGCUGGCACCCAAAUGCAGGUCUGCCUUCCUCUCAAGAAUGUGCUUUUGGCAGCUUCCUCAAAACUGCACCUGCAUGGCCACCUCAUAAGCCUCAGAAAAAAACAGCGUUAGCAUUUUGUGAGCAGAAGCAGGCCAAGCACUGUAUUCCCCGAAGGACUCCGGGGCAUCCCUCCUGGCUUUGUGUCUUGUCUUGCAGGAGAUUAAGGCACACCCAUGUGUCUCCUCACAAGGACAUGAGGGCUUUGGGACCAACUGUUGCUGCCACCACUGCCACCUGCUGAGACCUCCAGCUCAAAGAGACCUGGACCUACUCUAUCUUCUGGGGCAGAGGGGUAAAUGGAGACAGAAGCAGAAGGAGCUGGGGACUAAGAGUGGGAAAAUAGUCUGAGGCAUCAUUCAGAGCUGAGAGAUGGGGUGUAGGAGAGAGAAAGGGGCAAGAAGAGAUGGGGUGCAUGGAGUACAUCACUCAGAAUCACAGUGACAGAGAAAGGUAUACUCAAACCAUUGAAAAUCAUUUGUUGUGAUUCCCCCUAUAAGCCAAUGCAAUAGCACACAGGGAACCAUGCAGGAAGAUACAUUACGGCUGCACAGUGGAGUGAGGAAAUGCUAGUCUGGAGGCUUGCCAUAUAACAUUAAUUCCCUUCUUUGUGCCUGUGCAUUAUAGUACAGCCUUUAAAGACAUGAUCACGUAGUUCUGUUGGAUUUUUCCACAGGACCCCUGUCUCCUUUACUGCCAAGCUAGGGGUGUGUAGUAAAUGAGGGAGGGGAUUGGAGGUGGAGAAGAGAUUAUCUGGUCAUUAAUGCAGCUGAACGCUGCCUAGCCCUGCUCCUACUACUGUCACUUAAAUAAACACUUUCACAGUCGGCCAAUACCACCUGCUCUGCUUGCCAGGCUACAGACACCUGGGUGUCAGACUGGCAAAAACACUGAGUGGUCUUCAUUACAAGCAAAGUGCCUUCACAGAAUCACAGAAUCACAGAAUUGUAGGGGUUGGAAGGGACCUCUAGAGAUCAUGGAGUCCAACCCCCCUGCCAAAGCAGGCUCCCUAUACCACGUCGCACAGAUAGGCAUCCAGGCGGGUCUAGAAUAUCUCCAGAGAAGGAGACUAACAUUAUGAAAGUCUCUGGUUCUAGAGGUUCAAGAACCCUGGCUGUUCCCAGCAGAAAUCCUGGCAGAAGUUCCUUGUACCACAAUCCCUCUUGUUUCAGCCAAGGAUGUGUUCGCCCCCAAAGACAUCCCGUAUCAGGCUAUCACAUGUUUGCUACUGAUUCCCUCUCCAGUUUGGGUGGCUUCAGCAUCAAAGUUCACUAACAUGGGCAUUCUAGAGGCUGCUCAGCUUACUUUCUUCUCUCAUCUCAACUUUACAUCUUGCCCAAUGAUGUUCUCAAGUGCUCUUAUUAAUUCACUGAACUUUUCCCAACAUUAGACUUUCUUGUCGGCACACCAUUCUCCACACCCCCCUCCCAGUCCUCUCAACAAUUUCGUGUUCUUUUCUCGCACUAAGUGCGCUCUUACAUUACUUUGCCAAAAGCAGUUGUUUUUCUUAUAUAUCUGCAAUUUCGUCUUUCACAACAGUAAUCCUCUGCACUCUAGAUUUCAAUAACAUGCCCUUGUUUAAACAUAUGUAGUGUGCACUAAAAAAAAA